GGGGUGUCAAACGGACUGGCCCGC
rnacentral:siRNA from 1 species